rnacentral:rRNA from 1 species
GAUGAACGCUGGCGGCGUGCCUAAUACAUGCAAGUCGAGCGAACGGACGAGAAGCUUGCUUCUCUGAUGUUAGCGGCGGACGGGUGAGUAACACGUGGAUAACCUACCUAUAAGACUGGGAUAACUUCGGGAAACCGGAGCUAAUACCGGAUAAUAUUUUGAACCGCAUGGUUCAAAAGUGAAAGACGGUCUUGCUGUCACUUAUCGAUGGAUCCGCGCUGCAUUAGCUAGUUGGUAAGGUAACGGCUUACCAAGGCAACGAUGCAUAGCCGACCUGAGAGGGUGAUCGGCCACACUGGAACUGAGACACGGUCCAGAGUCCUACGGGAGGCAGCAGUAGGGAAUCUUCCGCAAUGGGCGAAAGCCUGACGGAGCAACGCCGCGUGAGUGAUGAAGGUCUUCGGAUCGUAAAACUCUGUUAUUAGGGAAGAACAUAUGUGUAAGUAACUGUGCACAUCUUGACGGUACCUAAUCAGAAAGCCACGGCUAACUACGUG